rnacentral:rRNA from 1 species
UACGGAAGGCAGCAGUGGGGAAUAUUGCACAAUGGGCGCAAGCCUGAUGCAGCCAUGCCGCGUGUAUGAAGAAGGCCUUCGGGUUGUAAAGUACUUUCAGUCGUGAGGAAGGUGUUAAGGUUAAUAACCUUAGCAAUUGACGUUAGCGACAGAAGAAGCACCGGCUAACUCCGUGCCAGCAGCCGCGGUAAUACGGAGGGUGCGAGCGUUAAUCGAAAUUACUGGGCGUAAAGGGCACGCAGGCGGUUAAUUAAGUUGGAUGUGAAAUCCCCGGGCUUAACCUGGGAAUGGCAUUCAAGACUGGUUAGCUAGAGUCUUGUAGAGGGGGUUAGAAUUCCAUGUGUAGCGGUGAAAUGCGUAGAGAUGUGGAGGAAUACCGGUGGCGAAGGCGGCCCCUGGGACAAAGACUGACGCUCAUGUGCGAAAGCGUGGGGAGCAAAC